UACGUAGGGUGCGAGCGUUAAUCGGAUUUACUGGGCGUAAAGCGUGCGCAGGCGGCCCGUUAAGACAGGUGUGAAAUCCCUGGGCUCAACCUAGGAAUUGCGCUUGUGACUGGCGGGCUCGAGUACGGUAGAGGGGGGUGGAAUUCCUGGUGUAGCAGUGAACUGCGUAGAGAUCAGGAGGAACACCGAUGGCGAAGGCAGCCCCCUGGGCCUGUACUGACGCUCAUGCACGAAAGCGUGGGGAGCAAACAGG
rnacentral:rRNA from 1 species